rnacentral:rRNA from 1 species
UACGUAGGGUGCAAGCGUUGUCCGGAAUUAUUGGGCGUAAAGAGCUCGUAGGCGGUCUGUUGCGUCGGCUGUGAAAGUCCGGGGCUCAACUCCGGAUCUGCGGUGGGUACGGGCAGACUAGAGUGAUGUAGGGGAGACUGGAAUUCCUGGUGUAGCGGUGAAAUGCGCAGAUAUCAGGAGGAACACCGACGGCGAAGGCAGGUCUCUGGGCAUUAACUGACGCUGAGGAGCGAAAGCAUGGGGAGCGAACAGG